ACGUUACAGGUGUCCGUCAACGACGGAUGAAAAGGGAAUCCGGUGUGAAUCCGGAGCUGUCUCGCAACUGUAUUCGAGAUGCAGUUUCAUAUGCCACUGAGCGAUUGGGAAGGCGAAGCUGUGAGAGAUCGUAAGUCAGGAGACCUGCCUGUAAUAA
rnacentral:ncRNA from 1 species